rnacentral:rRNA from 1 species
GAUGAACGCUGGCGGCGUGCCUAAUACAUGCAAGUCGAGCGAACGGACGAGAAGCUUGCUUCUCUGAUGUUAGCGGCGGACGGGUGAGUAACACGUGGAUAACCUACCUAUAAGACUGGGAUAACUUCGGGAAACCGGAGCUAAUACCGGAUGAUAUUUUGAACCGCAUGGUUCAAAAGUGAAAGACGGUCUUGCUGUCACUUAUAGAUGGAUCCGCGCUGCAUUAGCUAGUUGGUAAGGUAACGGCUUACCAAGGCAACGAUGCAUAGCCGACCUGAGAGGGUGAUCGGCCACACUGGAACUGAGACACGGUCCCGACUCCUACGGGAGGCAGCAGUAGGGAAUCUUCCGCAAUGGGCGAAAGCCUGACGGAGCAACGCCGCGUGAGUGAUGAAGGUCCUCGGAUCGUAAAACUCUGUUAUUAGGGAAGAACAUAUGUGUAAGUAACUGUGCACAUCUUGACGGUACCUAAUCAGAAAGCCACGGCUAACUACGUG